GACGAACGCUGGCGGCGUGCUUAACACAUGCAAGUCGAACGAAGAGCGAUGGAAGCUUGCUUCUCUCAAUCUUAGUGGCGAACGGGUGAGUAACGCGUAAUCAACCUGCCCUUCAGAGGGGGACAACAGUUGGAAACGACUGCUAAUACCGCAUACGAUCUAACCUCGGCAUCGAGGAUAGAUGAAAGGUGGCCUCUACAUGUAAGCUAUCACUGAAGGAGGGGAUUGCGUCUGAUUAGCUAGUUGGAGGGGUAACGGCCCACCAAGGCGAUGAUCAGUAGCCGGUCUGAGAGGAUGAACGGCCACAUUGGGACUGAGACACGGCCCAGACUCCUACGGGAGGCAGCAGUGGGGAAUCUUCCGCAAUGGACGAAAGUCUGACGGAGCAACGCCGCGUGAGUGAUGACGGCCGUCGGGUUGUAAAGCUCUGUUAAUCGGGACGAAAGGCCUUCUUGCGAAUAGUUAGAAGGAUUGACGGUACCGGAAUAGAAAGCCACGGCUAACUACGUG
rnacentral:rRNA from 1 species